AAGAGAAGGGAAGAAAGAAAAGAAAAGAAAGAAGAAGAAAAGAAAGAAAAAGAAGGAAAGUGAAAGGAAGAGAAAAGGGAUUUAUAGGAAAAGGGAAUAGGGUGAAGAAGAAAGGAGAUUAGCAAGAGAUUUCAACUCUGACUUAGAGGCUACCCAAAUCAGACAUCCUACAGAUCGUGCGGGGUAGUGUUUUGUUGGGUUGUGCCACGGUGUAGCAUCUUUCGUGGAUGUUUUCAUUUGCACGCAUCUAUAUAGACUUUUUGUUGUUUUAUUUUAAACUUAUGAAAUGUUGAAAGGCCGGAGGCCUAAUUACAAUAUUCUCAUGACUUUUUGCAAAUGAGUAAAGAUGUAAAUUAUUUUGUUAUGUAUAUGAUAAGGCCGGAGGCCUAAUUUCAGGUUUAUUUUCUGA